UACGGAGGGUGCAAGCGUUAUCCGGAAUCAUUGGGUUUAAAGGGUCCGCAGGCGGUUCUAUAAGUCAGUGGUGAAAUCUCUCGGCUCAACCGAGAAACUGCCAUUGAUACUGUAGGACUUGAAUUCGGUCGAAGUGGGCGGAAUAUGACAUGUAGCGGUGAAAUGCUUAGAUAUGUCAUAGAACACCGAUAGCGAAGGCAGCUCACUAGGCCUGGAUUGACGCUCAGGGACGAAAGCGUGGGGAGCAAACAGGG
rnacentral:rRNA from 1 species